CUGUUCUGUUCACAUGGUUUCAUCAUGGCUGAACUCCUGCUGCUGGUGGUGGCCUUUGCAUAUUCUUUUCAUGAAAUUAAAGCACAAGGUGAAGAGAAACUGAACAGGAAAGAGUUUAAACAUGACGAUUCUGAUGUUUAUCAUGUAUACGCCACCAUCUCUGAGGAUCGAGCCACACCAGUCCCACAGGAUAUGACGUACAGCAUGCUGCAGGCACACUGAAACAUUUAAACCUUUCAUACUGUGCUCUAGCAAAAACCUGAGAUGCUGAUGCCAUCCUGGAAACUUGAAGCAGUCUGGCCAUUCUCCUCUGACCUCUAGGAUCAACAAUAGAUUUUAGCCAGAGAACUGAAGCCCAAUGAAUAUUUCUCUUCCGUGGAACAUGCGGAUCAACAGUUUGAAAACUACCUAAACCAGCUCAUCUGCCACCAGCAACAGAGCCAUCCUGUUCAAAGUCACUCAAAUCACCUUUCUUCUCCAUUCUGAUGCUCGGUUUGAACUUUAGUGGGUCAUCUUGACUGUGUAAAAAUGCCUAAAUGCACUGAGUUUGUGGCAUUUGAUUAGGUUAUAAGGUGUUUGUGUUAACAAGCAGUUGAAUAAUAAAGUGUGUGUUUACUGUAUACAGAAAAUACUUUGAAAAACAACAAAGCUGGAUUUCAUCAACUUCAACAUAUUGAAAAAAGGAAUGGAAAAAUUUAUUUAUUUUUAGAAAUUAGUGACAUACACUGAAUUAUAAUAGUUAUUCGAUAUGUUUGCAUUUUAAACUAUUUGUUACUGUUAAUCUCAGACCUACAGUUAGUGUGACCUCUCCUAUUAAUACAGUUCAGAAUCAAGAGACAGAAUCACAGGUGAUAUUCUUGUGUGUUCAUCAAAAGUGCAAACAUGCAUUGCUGUGAAAGUCAGACACUGAACCAUUUCAACUUUCUGCAAAAAGGUCCAGCCUGCACUUUUGUGUAACACCACUUUGAGCCACUAGAUGGUGUAGUUAGUGAGUGCAGCCUUCCAUGACCUCAACAGGAGAAUAAGAUGAAAUGCUAUUGAAAUGCAGAUGUAGCAGAAUGACACAUGAUCUAUGAAUCUAAAAGUGGAAGUUAUGACCAGCAGGAGCAACUCACGUAAUAAAAAAACAUGCUUGGAAACAAUCUGGUCUUUAAGUGAUGACGUGAUGAAUCCUGCUUCUGGGCCCAAAUGACUCCGCGUUUAAUAAGGCUUUUGUGUUUUUUACAUGUUUUAAUGUUUUGUAUCUUGUUCUAUUUCAUCUCAACAAGCCCCUAAAAACAGUCAGUGAUCACUGUCGG